UGCAAAUGAUGCCUUUUCUCACGAUGGUCUUCUGAACCUUGAGUUGUGAGGACAUUGCCUAAUGGCUUUACUGAUGCUACCCA